ensembl:lncRNA
UCAGAGCAGCCCCAGGUGUGAGCAGUUAUGGUAAAGAAUGGGUGGGUCCUGCCCGGGGCUAUUUUAGGGGGAGGGUUUCUGUCACUUCGCUUGAGCAUGGAGUGUGGAGCAGUUGGAGCAGAGGGAUUUUUGGUGAGCUCCUGGGGGGUAUUUCAUGGAAUAAUACUGGGAGUGUCUCAUAGGAUCUGGGAGAACAGCUGGAUACACCUGGACAUGGAGCAUUGUUUAAAGCAGCAUCUGAGCCAAGUAAGCCUGUGUGGGUUCGCAGGGAUUUGCAAAAGGGAUUUUCCCUUUUGAUUUCAUUUUGCCGUUUGCUCCCCAAUUCCCCCCGGAAGAAAUGGGUAUUAUGAGGACAAAAGGGGGGCAUAAAUUGAGGGAAGAAACUCCUGUUAUUAUCUAUUUUUACACUGGGGGGGAGUCCACCUAUGAUUUUAAGGGUGCUGAUUGGAGGAAAACCUGCCUUUUCCAGGGUGUUAGGGGUAUCAGUGAACAGUGAAUCCCCAUGUUCCAUUUUAAAUGGAAGGGGGGAAAUAUUGUUGCUAUUUUAUGGGUUUGACUUGAGGGGAACCCCCCACUUUCCAUCAUCCUGAGGUUUAAAUUGAGAAGGAAGCCUUAUAGUCACUACUUUUUAAGGGUCUGAUUGAGUGUUCCCCUUUUCCUAUCAUUUGAGAGAUUUCAAUCAAGGGAAAAACAACUUUUUACUUUUAGGGGAUUAAAUUGAAGGGGGGGAGCACUCAUUUAUUUGCCAUCGUAUUGGUUUAAGAAGGCACGAACACCCCCCCAUUGCCUCAGUUUCCGGGGUUCAAUUGACAGAAACACCGGCUUUUCCAGCAUUAGGCGGGGUCACAUGGAGCCGUGGCGCUGCUUUUGAGAGCGAUUCUGACCCCUUACAGCCCUGCACGGCAGCGCUUCUGGCAUUCCCUGGGGAAUUUGGCGGCUGGGCAGCCCCCGAGGAGUGACAGAGCCGUGCUGAGGCCGGGCGGGCAGGCGGGAGCCGCGGCGCGGAGCUGUGUCUGUCCCGGCUGCUCUGUCCGCUCCGGGCGCGGGGCUCGGGCACCGCUGGGGCCCCUUCGGGCCGGUCCCGGUGCCGCUGGGCGGGCCGGGCUCUCCCGGGGCCGGAGCUGCCCCCGCCCGCCGGAGGAGCCGCUUUCCGGCCGGGAGCGCGGGGCCGCCCCCGGGUGCCGAGUGCCGCCGCUGCCGGGGCUCGCGUGGUUUCCCCGGUCCCCCCGCACCUGGAGCGGCGCCAGCCCGGGAGCGAGUCCCGGCGGGGGCCGCUGGGGAACACUUGUGGCUUAUUGGCUUCAGAGUGCCCUGGCAAAAGCCGCUGGGAGGAGGGGAGGGGGAAAAGCCCGACCUGCCGGGCUUUUUGUCUCGGGGCUUUGUCGAUAUUGCUCUUUAGCCGAGCUGUGCCUUUAAAUAACGAUGUGGUGCCUUCUAGAAACUGUGUCCAAUACCUUUUGUACCCUCGCAGGAGGGCUUCGAGCUCAGGUUUUUCCAUUGCCGAGUUAACUGCAGGUCCGAGCUGGCAGCGUCCCGUGCAUCUGGGGGCCAAAUACGAGUGGCAAAUCAACUUUGGCAUGGAACUGCUGAAGGAGAGGAGUUUCUGGUGGGCUCCCAGUGGCAUCUGAUGGAGUGACGGUGAGAGUAUCUCAUAGGGUCUGGGGGAGCACGUGGAUGCACCUGGACGUGGAGCACUGCUUAAAGGAGGUGGUGAGGGACAAAGCUUUCUGCCAGGAAGCAGCACCUGAACAGCUGAGCCAGUGUGGAUUUGCAGGGGUGAUCUUUCUCCUUUUCCCUUUUGAUUUCAUCUUGGCAGUCCCUCCCUGGUGCCCUCAAUCUGUCACAAGAAUUCCAAAAAUAAAAAGGCUGAGUGAACAGUGAAAAGAAGGGGU